CGAGUAUCGCCGCCUACUUAGCCUGCAGUUCCAGUCGCCGCUGCGCUAGCUGGGUAGGAUGAGGAGUCUGUCCUCCUCGCCGCGCCCGUCAUCGAAAACACCCCUUCCACGAGUCCCACCGCAAGAGGCGGGCAUCCACCACCUCCGCCACCACCAUUGGCAGGCCCAAAUCCAGCACCAGGUAAUCAUCGGUUCGACGGCAUCUUGAACAGGGGCGAUCUUGAUCGGCGUUGUCUCGGGUGUUGGGCAACCUCGAGUGGCAGGCAGCAGCACCAAAUCACAACGUAGGUACUUGUCUACCUGCACAAUUAAAGUUUCCUCAUUCUUUUUAUUUUUUCAUGAUUCAUGAAACCAUAUCUUUCUUGGAUUGGAUCCUAUCGACUAUUGACGUGGAGUAAGAUGGAAUGUCUGUUGCGAUUUGAAGCUCUUUGCUUUUCGAUGAGCUGAGGAUCGGACAAGAGUGCCUUUGUGUGUCGCAGGUGCGUCCACGCGGUCACGCAGACGGAUGGAGAAAUUUCGAUAUUUGACAUCAAAUUCGCGCUUUCACUUGUUUUAACACUUAAUUCGCAAGCCUUUUAAAAUAUAACCCUCCGUCUACGAAUUGUUUCAAUUUGAGGGAUUUCUUCUCCUUUUCCUAAUUUAGAGAUUUUCUUUUUCUUUUUCAUUUUACAGUGCACAUGAACCGACCAUUCUGCCCUGACCCAAUUGAUCAGAUCGUUAGAAUCAAAUCGAUCCUUCUUCACCCGGCCUGCCUACCUUUCCUCUCCCGUGCUCCCGUCUCUCUGAUCUCUCUCUGAUCCCAAGGGAGGAGGCGGAAUAGGAGCUCCACCGCCCGCCGGCCCCCAUCCUAGAGAUACUUCGGCCGAAGAUAACUUGGCGAGCAGCACGCUGCCAAUGUGGGAGAUCUUGCGGCACCACUUGAUGCUGAGCCUCUCGACCCCUGAGCACCAGACGGAGACCUUGGCGAGCCCGACGUCGGUGAUGCCAAGGCACUUGUCCAUGACUAGCUCCCUGAGCCCCGCUGCCGCGGCGAGGGCGGCCAACUUCCUAUCCCCGGUGGCGACACAGUGGGACUUGUCGACGGCCUCCAGCCUCGGGCAUGCCGCCACCAGUGCCUCCAGCAGCUCCUAUUCCGCCUCCUCCCUUGCGACCGAGAGAGAGAUGAGAGAGACAGGGAGACGAGCACGGCUGCACGGGAGCCUCGCCGUCAUGGGCGCUGUUGCCCGCCCGCGAGGGUGUCCCAGUCAACUGGAGCAGAGGGUUGGGGCAUGGCGAUGAGGGAAACAAGCAGGGCGGCGCAAACGGAGGCGCUCGGUCUCUGGAUGCGGCGAUAGAGAAGAAGAGACGAGUGAGAGAGGUAGCAGGAGAAAAUCAGGAGGGUAAAUUGGUCCAUUAACUUGAUCCGUCAAAUGAAAUCGAAAAGAAAAGGAGAGAAAUUGAGGAAAGGAGAAGAAAUCCCCCAAAUCGAAAGAAUUUGCAGGUGGAGGGUUAUAUUUCAAAAGGCUUGCAAAUUGAGGGUUAAAAGAUGUGAGGCGUGCGAAUUUAGUGUCAAAUAUCGAAAUUUCUCAGAUGAAUGAACCCUAUUGUCUGCUGCGCCUGUUUGUGUAGUUAUUACCAAGUAAAUCGAACGGAAGGACGUCCAUGAUUACAUGACUCUAGAAGAUGACCAGAUGGAUGUACCAGGUGGUUGGUGCUUAAGCUCACUGCAUCGCGGUGACCUGUUAGUUUUGACGCAUGCUUGCCAAGUUCUUCACGGAGUACCCCCAUUGCAAUGAGAUAUGGCAAUGCCCUGCUUACUAAUUCUUGGAAUCGGUGCCAUUUUGAAUCACUGCUAGGCGAUAGCUUGCAUCAACAAACAUAGUGGCAGUAAGGCACUCAUGAGACACUGGUGAGGUCUGGGAAGCUAGAUGUUGGGGUGUUGCUCCGGGAGAAGAUGAGGCGAGGUUGCUGGUAUACGGAUAUUCUCUGGAUUUGCCAAUCCUCCGUAUUGUGGCAAUUUUGGAUAAUAUGGACAUCUACAGAGUUAAACCGAAAUAGAAUUUUUUAAGAAUACUAUAGCAGGAUAUUAUAAAGAGUUUUUAAUGAAAACAUCAAUUGCAAAUAGUGAAUGGAAUAUACCGUGUAUGUACAUUCAUGGAAACAAUUUAUUUCAUUGACUAUUCUAAAGAAUUGUUAUGCCAGGAUCCGAAAUAAUAUUUAAGCACUUAUUUGUUCAAGCCAAUUUACACAAUGCUGGUUUCUUAGACUCUCCAUGGAAUAGUAGAUCAUUGAUAAUAUUGUUUUCGGGUUUGUGCUCAUAACAUAUGGCUGCAGCAUAAUGCCUCAUCGUAGAAGGUGCUAACAAAAAUGUAACUUGGUAAUGUACAUGUGUUCUUAUGGUUUCUUCACUUCUUUGAUUCGGUAAAUCGGAUCAAUUUAUGCAAUCAUAGUGGAUCAGAGAAGGGAUCUCGGUCUGCUCAUAGAGGACCCACUUACCAGGGGUAAGGGGGUAACAAAGUGUGGAGUAGUUCUCAAAACCACUCUUUCAAAAAUGAAUAUGUCGAGAGAGCCAAACAAUUAUUUACCUAAACUCACCUUGACCCACCAUAACCCCACCCCUCCCCUAAUUUUGGUACUAAUUGAUGCUAAUUGCCACUAAUUGUCUAUCAUCUCCGAAAGAAAUUUAAUGAGGGGAGGGAAUUGCCUAUCAUUUUGGAAAGACAUCAAAAGAGGGGAAGGAAUCGUCUAUCAUUUGGGAAAGAAAUUAAAGGAGGGGAGGAAAAUGAUGGUAGUUGCCUAUGAUGCACUUUCCAUAUAUAUUUUUUUUGUAGAAGUCUUAUGGUGCACUUUCCAUGUAGAUCAUUUUGGAAAGAAAUGAUGGCUGUCUCCAUUUAUCAUGGAAGUUUGAUAGAGAGCCCAUCACUUUACAAGAUACAAAUUUAAUAAGGAAGUCCCCAUUUGCAAUUAAAGAUGAAAUUAUUGUACACAUAGAGAUUUGGUUUGUUGAUAUUAAUUUUUUAUGUUGUGCUACCCAAUCUAUUUCAUUUUUUAUCAUGAAGAAGAUCUGAAGGUCACUCCACUGGAGCGCAAAAGGCAGAAAAAAAAAGGCAAUGUUAUGCUAAUACAUAUAAUGUGAGUUAUUGAAAGGAUUUUGAAGCAGAGUGAGUUCUCGAAAACACAAGGUGAAUUAUUUUAGUCUAUGCAUUUAGGAUUUGCACCGUAUAUGUUUUCAGGUUGUGAUUGGUACAAUUUUCUAUUUGUGGUAUGUUGGAUUUGAAUCACCAUCAAUGUAGUUUGAAACUAUGCAAUCUACAAUAAUACAGUUAGCUUCUGGCCUAAGGACUAGAAGCGCUACCCAUGGUGUGAUUUCCUAAUCCAUCAACAAUAUUUUUUGUUAAUAAUUAGUAACUAAGAUAAUUAAAUUAUCAUUGAAGUUUUUUCUAUUAUAGGUGGUAAUACAAUAGUUGCGCCGAUGAGAUGCGUUUUGACCACAGUUCAAUUUCUUUAAGCAAUGUUGUAGGAUACCCAUGGGCAUCAACACUAGAAGGUGAUUUCAUUUUAUUAUUAAUUAUUGGUGUUUGUUUAAAAAUAUAUAUUUAAGAAUUAUAUAUGCUACAUGAUCAACACGUACAGUCUUAUAUUGCAGAUAUUAGAAUUGGCAUACGCGCCCUAUAUUGUGUGAUGGCAUCAAAUUUGUAAUUGUCGCUCCAAUUGAGAAGCUAAAGAAGUUCUAUGAUGUACUACACUCAAAUUCUGAAGACCAUAAGUCUGCACUAGAAUACAUGUAUGAGUGUAUGAGAAGUGUUAGGAAUCUUCCAGAUAUAAAAAAAUUAAGAAUAUUGGUACGAGUC